rnacentral:miRNA from 1 species
UAAAUUUCUUGCCUCUCACAGU